rnacentral:rRNA from 1 species
UACAGAGGUCUCAAGCGUUGUUCGGAUUACAUUGGGCGUAAAGGGUGCGUAGGCGGCGCGGUAAGUCCGGGUGUGAAAUCUCGGAGCUUAACUCCGAAACUGCAUUCGAUACUGACCGUGCUUGAGGACUGGAGAGGAGACUGGAAUUUACGGUGUAGCGGUGAAAUGCGUAGAUAUCGGGAGGAACACCUGUGGUGUAGACGGCUACUGGACCGCGACUGACGCUGAGGCACGAAAGCGUGGGUAGCAAACAGG